UCCUGGUGGCUCAGAGGUUAAAGCAUCUGCCUGCAAUGUGGGAGACCUGGGUUCGAUUCCUGGGUCGGGAA
rnacentral:tRNA from 1 species